rnacentral:rRNA from 1 species
CGAAGGGUGCAAGCGUUACUCGGAAUUACUGGGCGUAAAGCGUGCGUAGGUGGUUCGUUAAGUCUGUCGUGAAAGCCCCGGGCUCAACCUGGGAACGGCGAUGGAUACUGGCGGGCUAGAGUGCGGUAGAGGAGAGUGGAAUUCCCGGUGUAGCAGUGAAAUGCGUAGAGAUCGGGAGGAACAUCAGUUGCGAAGGCGGCUCUCUGGACCAGCACUGACACUGAGGCACGAAAGCGUGGGGAGCAAACAGGAUUAGAUACCCUGGUAGUCCACGCCCUAAACGAUGCGAACUGGACGUUGGGAGCGAAUCAGGCUCUCAGUGUCGAAGCUAACGCGUUAAAGUUCGCCGCCUGGGGAGUACGGUCGCAAGACUG